AAAGGACCCAUGCAUAGGCACAGAAGGUGCCCACCGAUGAAUAUGUAAGGUCCCUGAGUUUGCUGCAGUGUGGGGAGGGGGCCAGUCCCACCAGAAGAACUCGUUCCCAGGGAAGGCGUCAUCUCCAGAACCCCCUGUUGAAACAGCAGUGGCACCAGUGAUUGCCAGGGUCUUCACUAACCUGUUCCCAUGAGAUAGCCCUAUUUUAUGGAUGAGUAAAAUGAGGCUGCGAGAGGUGAAGUGGUCUGCUGGCGAUCACACAGCCAGUCAACGGCAAGGCUAAGGCUUGAAGGCAGCGUUCCCUGUUUCCUCUGAGGGCAGGAAGGAGGCUGUGGAAGUGUUUGGGGAAGGCUAAGAUUCUGGACCAGAGAACCGUGGAGGAGCAGGUGCCUGGAGAGGAAAUAUGGUGUCUGCCGCCACCUCGCGGUCACAGAGCUUCUGGAGGGAAGAAACAUAUGACCUUGUGAACACAAGGUCAAGGUCCCUCCUAGGACCUAUGCAAGUGUGAGGCCUUGCCGGACACAUAAUCCUCAAGAUGAGGAAACUGAGGCACAGAGAGGGAAAGCCGAGCCUGACUCCAGCCUCAUCACUACUCCUAUUACAACAAGAAGAGAUAUGAAACUACAGGACAUUUUGAAACCGGAGGCAAAAACUUCCCUCCCACCACCUGAAGAGAGAAUGGAAAUUUGGGGGGAAACCAGACCCGCUCUACAGUGUUGGGAGCCCUGUGAUGAUCUAGAAUUAC
rnacentral:lncRNA from 1 species